AUUUAUAUAAUUUAUAUAGAAUAUUGCAUUGAAGCUGCAAAAGAGACUAUAAUUGUCUGUAAAUA
rnacentral:tRNA from 1 species